GACGAACGCUGGCGGCGUGCUUAACACAUGCAAGUCGAACGGAAAGGCCCUGCUUUUGUGGGGUGCUCGAGUGGCGAACGGGUGAGUAACACGUGAGUAACCUGCCCUUGACUUUGGGAUAACUUCAGGAAACUGGGGCUAAUACCGGAUAGGAGCUCCUGCUGCAUGGUGGGGGUUGGAAAGUUUCGGCGGUUGGGGAUGGACUCGCGGCUUAUCAGCUUGUUGGUGGGGUAGUGGCUUACCAAGGCUUUGACGGGUAGCCGGCCUGGGAGGGUGACCGGCCCCAUUGGGGCUGAGAUACGGCCCAGACUCCUACGGGAGGCAACAGUGGGGAAUAUUGCACAAUGGGCGGAAGCCUGAUUCAGCAACGCCGCGUGCGGGAUGACGGCCUUCGGGUUGUAAACCGCUUUCGCCUGUGACGAAGCGUGAGUAACGGUAAUGGGUAAAGAAGCACCAGCUAACUACGU
rnacentral:rRNA from 1 species